CUACUGUCGCAGAGCAGAUCCGGGCCGCGUCCGAAACGAGCGCGUGUUCAGAACAGAAGACGUCAAAAGAUAUUUGCUUAGAUCAAAGCAAUAAAUUGUAUUUUGAAGUAAAUUAAAAUAGAAAACCAUUAUUUUAAAUUGUAAUACUUCUAAAUAUUACAGUUUUUUUCUGUAUUUUUGUUCAAAUAAAUGCUGGCUUGAUUAGCAUUUUGCGGAAAGAGUAAAAACAAUGUGUUGUAAUAUACUGUUUCAAUAUCUUAGAGAAACCAAUUUAAGUGGAAGGAUAUAGUUUUUUUUAAACAAUGCUUACACACAACAUUCUGGUCCACACUCACACCAGAUGGUGGCGGUAAUGCACCAAAAAGUUGUUUGCCAACCGCCAAUAAACCUUAAUAGAAGAAGAAGACGUCAAGAAGAUCGAGGCAGACGGACUGCACGCUGUUAAAACUUCACCAAGAUCGGUGUUGGACCGGCGAACACUUAGGCCUAUGUUAUCAGAGGACUUGCUAACAUGAAGAAAACGGUCCAGAGGUUCCACCUGAGAGCCGGGACUGUCAAAUAGUAAGAGACAACGAAAAGGGGGGAACUGUCUUUAAGCUGUGGAGUCAGAUGGAGGGCUCGCAUUUACCUCAAAAACGGCAUUGCAGAAGACUCGAACAACUAGAACCAACUCAAGCACACAAUGGUGACACACAUUUGUAAGACCUUUCCCUGUGAUAUAAAAUUUCCCUGUGGUAAUUAUUCAGAUUCUUCUCAUUCUCAUUGUGUAACACUGUUUUAAGCUUAGUGAAUAUUAUGUACAGUAAGCACUAGAUGUAGAGACUUAUACUACUUGGGGUAGUUUUAAAUUAACUUUAAUUUUGCUUUUGAUGCAAAAAUUAUCAAAAGAAAAGAUGUAGUGUAGUAAAAGAUGUUUUGUGUAGUAAUUCAAUUGUUUUAAUAUGAAUAUUGUUUUAAUAGUGUUCAGGACAGUAAUUGUCUAUACAUCUAAAUCAGUUCUUUAAACUUUUUGUUGUCCAAGACCUUGAUAUUAUACCUUAAGGAAAAAAAAAAGAUAUUUAAUUAUGUAUUAUGUAAGAUGCUUGUAAUCAUUGCUUUUAAAGGUAUUUAUCAUUUCUACUUAAAUAGUCAUUAUCUACUUGUAUGAUUUGUAUUAUCUGGGAACUGUACAAAUACUGUGGCAUAUGGACAUUACUCUUUUUAUUUGUAACUUUUAAAUGCAAUACUCUUUUUAAAUGCAUUUUCUGUCAAGCUGCA